ACCAGGGUUAUGUUGUGUGUUGAUUUGGUUACGCAUGUCCGUUAUUAAUUAAGAUUUUUUUUGGUUAUGAAGAUUAUGAAGUGAAAGCGGUAGGCAUAUGAGGCGGGAGUAAUACAUUGUUCCGCUUUCCUGCUGGUCCGGGUUACUCGUCUGAUCGCAACACCACGCAGAGGAAAGUCGUGGAUUGUGGUGGGUUUGCGCCCGCUGCCCUUGCAUGAGCUUUUGUGCAUCUGACUAGGAGAGAUGUGAAUGAAGGUGACAAAGAUCCCAAUCGUGAGAACUUGGGCCGACUUCAGGACCACCUGUAGCCAAGAGCUGAAGAAAUAAGACCCUGAGUUCCACCUUCCAACACACCGAAGCUCCAGGAGUUUGGGAGGAUUCCUACCCUUUGAGGACUAAUUUAACAAGAGUUUUUUAGCACUGAACAGACCAAAAGUGAAGUUGGGGAUAAUGAGCUACAUUUUUACAUUUGAAUUACGUAUUUCUUUUUAGGAUCUAUCAGAGUGAGCAUUUAUCUCUAUAUAUCUGGGACGGUGUUAAGUACUGACCUUUCAUUAUAACAGAAAAGGUACUUUUAGAACAAUCCUGCACUUGUAAAAACUUAAUUUUUCUGUAUAAUAAAUUGUCUAAAAUCACAUGUAUCGAAUUAUUGAAAAUAUCCUCAUAGAAGGAUUCCCACAAGAAUAAAUUAACUUCACCAAAGGAAGUUUUAUUUUGUUAUUAAUUGCUACUCACAAGCAUUGGCUAAUGGGAUGGAACUCUGCAACAAUUAAAAAGAGAAAUUAAUCAGA